GUUAUAUAACAUCCUGCAUGGCAUUACUUUUCCUUUUUUUUCCUCACACAAGGUCUUGGCGGGACUAAAGUCUUGGCAGGAUGUUUAACCAAAAAAAAAAAAAAAAAUCCAAAAAUUUUCUGAGAGAUACACUGCACCUCACCUCGUCUCUUCUGCCCCAAUUUUCAAACCCAAAAUCUAGCCACCACCAUUCACACCAGUGCCAAAGGACAAUGGAGAUGUUUAGUGUGAGCUCUGUUGAGCACACCAUGUGGUCAUACUCUGUCAUGGAAGUUUUGCAACGAAGAUUGUUUUUGCUGUUGGGAAGUCUUUCGUGCGGCCUUCUGGUAUAGUUUCAUGUGUUAGCUUUUUUUCUUUUCACCAUGGUUUAUUUCCACAAAUUGUUUUUUUUUCUUGAUAUAUUGCUCUAUUUUUUCGUUAAAGUCAAAAUAUCUGUUUACUUUUCGCGUCCAAUGCAUGAAACCUAUUUAGUGGCCCAACAAAUAGCUGUAAGGAGACUUUUUAUUU